rnacentral:rRNA from 1 species
GACGAACGCUGGCGGCGUGCUUAACACAUGCAAGUCGAACGGAAAGGCCCUGCUUUUGUGGGGUGCUCGAGUGGCGAACGGGUGAGUAACACGUGAGUAACCUGCCCUUGACUUUGGGAUAACUUCAGGAAGCUGGGGCUAAUACCGGAUAGGAGCUCCUGCUGCAUGGUGGGGGUUGGAAAGUUUCGGCGGUUGGGGAUGGACUCGCGGCUUAUCAGCUUGUUGGUGGGGUAGUGGCUUACCAAGGCUUUGACGGGUAGCCGGCCUGAGAGGGUGACCGGCCACAUUGGGACUGAGAUACGGACCAGACUCCUACGGGAGGCAGCAGUGGGGAAUAUUGCACAAUGGGCGGAAGCCUGAUGCAGCAACGCCGCGUGCGGGAUGACGGCCUUCGGGUUGUAAACCGCUUUCGCCUGUGACGAAGCGUGAGUGACGGUAAUGGGUAAAGAAGCACCGGCUAACUACGUG